rnacentral:rRNA from 1 species
UACGAGGGGGGCGAGCGUUGUUCGGAAUUAUUGGGCGUAAAGCGCGCGCAGGCGGCAGUGUAAGUAAGGUGUGAAAUCUCCCUGCUCAACGGGGAGGGUGCACUUUAGACUACACAGCUAGAGGUCGGUAGAGGGGGGUGGAAUUGCUGGUGUAGCGGUGAAAUGCGUAGAGAUCAGCAGGAACACCCGUGGCGAAGGCGGCCCCCUGGGCCGUACCUGACGCUGAGGCGCGAAGGCUAGGGGAGCGAACGGG